GCUGUUUAUUCUGUUUCUCUAUUAUAAACAGUGUUAUAGUAAGAAUAGUUUAAGGUGUAACUUUAUGCUUCUCUGAGCUAAUUGCUUUAGGAUAAGUACUUGAUGUAUUUAAUAGUAUUGCUGAGACAUAGGACUUGAAUAUUAUAAUUUUUACUACAUAUGUCAAAUUUCCUGUAACUUAGUUUUACUGGCUUACUACUACCAAACUAUAAUUGUGUAUCUGACAAUUUUCAAACACUUGAUGUUGGUAUUUUCUUUUCUCUGCAAACUCACAGCAUCUGCUUUUUUUUUCUGUCUUUUUAGUAACAGCCAUCCUGACUGGUAUGAGAUGGUAUCUCAUUGCAAUUACUGUUGAUGAUAGUGUAAAUUAGUUCAAACAUUAUGGAAAGCAGUAUGAUGAUUCCUCAAAAUGCUGAAAGCAGAACUCCCAUUUGACCCAGCAAUCCCAUUACCAGUAUAUACUCAGAGGAAUAUAAAUCAUUCUACCAUAAUUACACAUGCAUAUGAAUUCAUUGCAGCAUGAUUUGAAACAGCAAAGACAUGGAGUCAACCUAAAUGCCCAUCAAUGACAGAUUGGAUAAAGAAAAUAUGGACUACCACAACUGGAUGAUAAGGAAGGAAGAAACACAGUUCACAGACGAAUGAGAUCAAUAGGUUGGCAUGAGUGGAAAAUGGGUUACUUCUGCAAAAAGGCCCAGCACGUCUUCUUUUCUUAACUGGUAACCAACUCAAAUGACUACAAAAGGACAGAGCUGGCUUCAGAUUUACUUAGAAGGAUAUGAUGCUAAUGAAUGCUGCAUGUCAACAUGUCAGCACAAGCCAUUUCUUAUUCGUGAAAGCCCUCCCAGCAGUCCCACAGUAGUGCCAGGACUGUGGUCUCUGGAGUAAUUCCGUCUAGUUUUCUGCCAGGUGCUUUUUACUAGAUGUGACCCGUGGGAUCAUUACUCACUCUGUUGCAGUUUUCUCACUUCAAACAUAGAGACAAACAUCAUAAUUCACCUAGGAGAGCUUUAUUGAGGACUAAACCAAAUAAACUAAUAUAAAAGACCCUCUGUGUCUUAAUGAUGUUUAGAAAAUGAAAGUUUAAGUUUUACUCAGUGGGAGACCAAAUGGACUUAAACAUAGUUUGCUGGUAAAGGAUUGAAGCCAUCUUUGCAAAAUUAUGACAAUGAGAGAAAUCUGACAUAAUUGACUCCAUCUUGCUUCUAACUUCACAAGGUAACUGUCUUUGCUUAUUUCUGUAUGUAGGCCAAGCUAACUACAGGAGGAAUUUAGUUUAUAUAUUUUUUUCUUUAACCUUAAAGAGUAGAAUAAUAAUAGUUCCUUCCUGAAACUAACCUUCCCGCCUUGUUCAGGGAUAGAAACUGCCUUUGUAAAAUUAAUGAAAGACAAAGUUAGAAUUAUAGUAGUGGACUGAAUUCUGCUAAGACUUAGGCAUAGCUAAACAAUAACUAGUCAUUGCUUUCUAACUUGCUUUUUUGGAAUUGCUUACUACCCAGGAGUCAUGUAGCCAGUGGCCCCAAGAUUUGUAACUUUCCCAGUUGCGCCUGUAGACAACAUCACUAUUGUGAAAGCUAAGAUUGAUGUUUGAGAUAUUUUUCAGAACCUGCAUUCUGGUGGACCAGCUGAUGCCACCUGGACUGGUGACCUAUACCAGCAAACUCGCUCAACUAGUUCUGUGACCCCAACCUAGGAGCUGACUCAGUACAUGAAGACAGUUUCAACACUCCUAUAAUUUCAUUUUAACCCAAACAAUCAACAUUGCCUAUCCCCUAGUUCCCUGCCAAACGAUUCUUAAAAACCUCUAGCCUCGAAAUUUUCAGAGAGGUGGGUUUGAGAAAUAUCUCCUGGUCUGCUUACAUAGCUGCCCUGCAAUUAUUAAACUAUUUCUCUGCUGCAAUACCUGCUGUCUCAGUUCAUUGACUUUUAUUGUGCAGUGGACAGGAAGAACCUAUUGGGCUGUGACAGGAUCUUUAUAUUUCAUACAUAAUUUUAUGAGCAUUAAUUAUUAACAAAAGAAUAAAAAACUUGUGAGAGAUUUUUGUUACCAUAUUACCUGAGGAAAGUUUAGCUGAAAUGUGAUACUUUAAGAGCAGUGUAAGAAAAAAAAAAAGUUGCACCUGAAGAUUAUGAUGUUUUCUGUAUUUAGUUUAGAAUUGAUCUGGUGAGCUGAAUUUAUAUUUUCAGUUUUUGUAUAUUUGGAAUAAAUG